GCCCAUGGAGUGUUGAAAUAAUUGUGCCUCAACUUGGCCAUCCACUUAUUACGACGCCUACUGCAAUGCAAAAUCACUUUGUUGAAAACCUCACGGUAAUAGAACUUCUCACCGAGUACAACGCCAUCACAAAGCUUGUUCAAUAAGGUUGCAAUCACUUCAUCAUCUCCUAACAAAUUCUCAAUUAUUCCACGACGGCGGAGUAAUUCAGCAUCCUUUGAAGAAUUGAUGAGGCAGUUCAGGAAUUCGACAUAAUCGAUUACAUGCUUCAGAUUUAAGUCUUGGGAACACUGCUCGUAUGCAAUGAAAUUCUGUAAAAUUGUUUCUGUAGCAUCACCAAUUUCCAAGGACGGCAUCUUCAUUACCCCAUUUUCGAACUUAAUAUCGAACAAGGAAUCAUCUUUAAGGACCUCAACCUUCCGGAAGCGGAUUCCAGCCUCUCGAAUCUCUAUGGCAGAACCAAUGAAGCUCCAGUAACUAUUAUCUGUGGCAUUAUUCCUAUAUGCUUCAACUCCUGCAGGUGAAGGAAGCCAAUUUGCGUGUAUUAAAUGGACCAAAUGUUUUAUUUCAUUUAUGGGGUAAACAUCAACUUGAUAAACAAUAUCUCUUCGACAACCUUUCCCUGGUAAUAUGCCAUUGAAAAAACGCAGGAUCAUGAGAAGAAAGCUUUCGUUCCUUGAAUCACUAGGCAUGUCAGUCAUGAUAAACAACUUCCAAAUAACAAAAAAUGGAAGUUGAUUCUCAAGCAAAAUCAUAUCUCGUGCUAUGGAAGGUAACAUCCAACCUAGUUUAAAAUUUGGGUCAUCAUCUCCUCUCAAAUGUUUCAACCUAAACUUGCGAAUAACCUCAACAAUAAAGCAACCAUCGAGAAGCAUCAUUUGCACAAACUCAUCUCUGUUUAAACUUAUAGAUCCUCCAUAACACUUUCGAGCUCUUUCUUCCAAUGCCCUCAUGGCCAUGACAUAGUCUGACAAAGGUAUACGAGUACGCUCUAGAAGUUUUUUAAGAUAGCGAGUUUUGUGCUCUUCAACUGCUGUACGGCCAAGGCGGAUGUACGGUACAGCAGUAGUGCAGGAACACGAUGCUCUUUCUAAGGAAUAGUAUAGAGAAGCAUAUUCUUCCCAGAUUCUUCCUCAGGAAUCUCUCUUUCCACCUAUCUUCCAAACCAUCUGCCAUGUGAUCACCAUCGGCCUUAAUUGCAUUGGGCUCCAAGAUUGUAAUGUAUGUGUUAAUUCAUGUUUUGUACCAUGUACAUGGCUAAUAAAUUAAACAAGGCCCUUUCAUCAAGCUUAUAAAGGGAGUAAGCCGAAACUAAUACUUUGAUGAUGCGUCGUUGCAGUUGCUUGUUUGAAUGCCAUUUGCUUGCAAGUGAUUUACUCUUGAUUUUCUGAUCUGCAGAUUGAUUCUAUCGCUCCUCUUUCAUUUUGAUGAAACAUAAUGUUAACUAAUGAUAGAAGAAUUUCAUCUUAUUGAAAUUGUUAGACUUGAAAUUCGAGACAGAUAUAACGCGUCCAAACUAUCCGCGAUGUGAUCACCAAUGCCAUGAGUAAUAUUUACAUAUUAUUUAACCUGCAUCUUCUAUUUAGUAAUGCUCGCAUUUGACAUUGCACACUAACAAAAUUUAACUCAGUACCUUGUUUAGUGUCGAAUAAGUCGUAUUAUAUUUGACAAACCAAAUAAGCAACAACUGUAAAUAAAGUUUAUACAAAUUUAAGAAGAAGAAUGGACAAUCACUACAUUUAACCAUCUUGACUCAUGUCUACAAUACCACAGUAGCUACUGUAUCUGCUUCUAUAUUCAAUGGCUUUGCGCUUGUUGAUAAUAAGAAAGAACUGCAAACAGAGCUUGCUGCAACGUUAGGAGAAGUAGGAAAAGAGCAGCAAGAACGGAGAUGAUUGCCCAUGGAGUGUUGAAAUAAUUGUGCCUCAACUUGGCCAUCCACUUAUUACGACGCCUACUGCAAUGCAAAAUCACUUUGUUGAAAACCUCACGGUAAUAGAACUUCUCACCGAGUACAACGCCAUCACAAAGCUUGUUCAAUAAGGUUGCAAUCACUUCAUCAUCUCCUAACAAAUUCUCAAUUAUUCCACGACGGCGGAGUAAUUCAGCAUCCUUUGAAGAAUUGAUGAGGCAGUUCAGGAAUUCGACAUAAUCGAUUACAUGCUUCAGAUUUAAGUCUUGGGAACACUGCUCGUAUGCAAUGAAAUUCUGUAAAAUUGUUUCUGUAGCAUCACCAAUUUCCAAGGACGGCAUCUUCAUUACCCCAUUUUCGAACUUAAUAUCGAACAAGGAAUCAUCUUUAAGGACCUCAACCUUCCGGAAG
rnacentral:lncRNA from 1 species